CCUACGGGAGGCAGCAGUGAGGAAUAUUGGUCAAUGGGCGAGAGCCUGAACCAGCCAAGUCGCGUGAGGGAGUACUGCCCUAUGGGUUGUAAACCUCUUUUGUCGGGGAGCAAAAGCCGCACGUGUCCGGCUGUGAGAGUACCCGAAGAAAAAGCAUCGGCUAACUCCGUGCCAGCAGCCGCGGUAAUACGGAGGAUGCGAGCGUUAUACGGAUUUAUUGGGUUUAAAGGGUGCGCAGGCGGGUUUUUAAGUCAGCGGUAAAAUCGUGGGGCUCAACCCCAUCCAGCCGUUGAAACUGGGGAUCUAGAGUGUGCGAGAGGUAUGCGGAAUGCGUGGUGUAGCGGUGAAAUGCAUAGAUAUCACGCAGAACCCCGAUUGCGAAGGCAGCAUACCGGUGCACAACUGACGCUCAGGCACGAAAGCGUGGGUAUCGAACAGGAUUAGAUACCCGUGUAGUC
rnacentral:rRNA from 1 species